UCAGGCCUAACACAUGCAAGUCGAGCGGACAGAAGGGAGCUUGCUCCCGGAUGUUAGCGGCGGACGGGUGAGUAACACGUGGGUAACCUGCCUGUAAGACUGGGAUAACUCCGGGAAACCGGAGCUAAUACCGGAUAGUUCCUUGAACCGCAUGGUUCAAGGAUGAAAGACGGUUUCGGCUGUCACUUACAGAUGGACCCGCGGCGCAUUAGCUAGUUGGUGGGGUAAUGGCUCACCAAGGCGACGAUGCGUAGCCGACCUGAGAGGGUGAUCGGCCACACUGGGACUGAGACACGGCCCAGACUCCUACGGGAGGCAGCAGUAGGGAAUCUUCCGCAAUGGACGAAAGUCUGACGGAGCAACGCCGCGUGAGUGAUGAAGGUUUUCGGAUCGUAAAGCUCUGUUGUUAGGGAAGAACAAGUGCGAGAGUAACUGCUCGCACCUUGACGGUACCUAACCAGAAAGCCACGGCUAACUACGUGCCAGCAGCCGCGGUAAUACGUAGGUGGCGAGCGUUGUCCGGAAUUAUUGGGCGUAAAGGGCUCGCAGGCGGCUUCUUAAGUCUGAUGUGAAAGCCCCCGGCUCAACCGGGGAGGGUCAUUGGAAACUGGGAAACUUGAGUGCAGAAGAGGAGAGUGGAAUUCCACGUG
rnacentral:rRNA from 1 species